rnacentral:tRNA from 2 species
GCGCCUGUGGCGGAAUUGGCAGACGCGCCAGAUUUAGGUUCUGGUGUCUUAGACGUGGGAGUUCAAGUCUCCCCAGGCGCACCG